AGAAGAGAGAAGCAAUUUCAACGUUUCAAGGGGGAAUUCAAGCGAAACCUUAAAUUCUGGGAUGAGCUCUAUAAUAUUGUCAGGGCAGGAGGGAGCUCAAAUUUGAUGAAAUUACGGAAUUUUUACAGAGCAUAUUCAUCUCUGCCAGCACACUAUACCGGACCGCUCUUAGUUAUCAAUCUCAAUCGCUUACUCCAGCUUUCAAGCAAUUUCAAAACAUUACGUCCUGGAAAACAGACCCAUCAACAGAUAAUUGUACCGAGAAUCCAUUUAUCAUAACUAAAUUAAUCCAAAUGUAUGCUGAUUGUGAUGUUGUAAAUUCUGCGCGCCAUCUGUUUGAUGAAUUGCCGCAGCCGAAUGUGUUUGCCUGGACGGCACUCGUAUCCUUCUUUUCUGGGAAUGGGUUGUUUUAUGAGUGCGUUAGAACUUAUUGCAAGAUGAAAUUCAAUGGUGUUUUGCCUGAUAAGUACGUGUUUCCGAGAGUUCUGAGAGCAUGUUCAUUGUAUUCUUGCUUGGAAGUUGGGGUUCAGGUUCACAAAGACGUGAUUGUGUGUGGUGCUGAACAAAAUGUGCAUGUUGGGAAUUCUUUUGAUUGAUAUAUACUCAAAAUGUGGGGACCUUAGGAGUGGUAGAUUGGUUUUUGAUUUGAUGAUGGAGAGGGACUUGCUUUCUUCAAAUUCGAUGAUUUCAGGUACUCCUUAACUAUGAAUAGAAGGGUACAUAAUCACUCAAAGGAAGAGACAAUUGUGACAGCCUUAGUUUCCUUUCAUCCGAAAGAAAUUUUGCAAACCUGCCAGUAAAGGAAACAAAGAUAAAGGUUAGAAUAAUACUUUUAUCUCAUCAUAGCAUAAAACAUAUUUAGUUUAUGCAAUACUACUUUUGAAGUGCUUCCAUGUUGGUUCCUCCAUUAUUCACUGGUUUAUAUUCUCCAGUAUGUAUAUCAACCUUGAAAACGGGUUUUCUCAAUAGAUUCUCUCCAACCCUGACAAGAUUUCCCAAAUUCUCCUUAGUUGCUUCAUCCAUAGAGGACAAAGCCCCAGUCAGUGUAUUAUCCUGCACUUUGCAUGCAAAACAAAGCCAUUGUAAGACUAUGACACAUUAAUGGCCCUGUUUAAUAAAUGGUUGUUAGCUGA